rnacentral:lncRNA from 1 species
AUGGGUGCCCGCGAGCCACGAGCGGGGCUUUGCCGCUACCCUGCCUGCUGCCCGUGUUUCAACCUCAGCCCUGUGAAGCGGGCGGCAGGGCAGGACGUGAUCUGUCUUGCGCCGAGGCCUGGCUCAGGAGCACCGUGCUGGGAACCCUGCAGGACCGGGAGCCUGGGUGAUCGGCAAGCAGGGAAGCGGAGGCAGUGGGGACGCGCGGCUCCCGCGUUGUUCGCAGCCUUGCCUGGGCCGUGGCCGCAGGUGUCCAACCUGUCGCUGCACGAAGGGGAGCGCUCGGCUCCGGCAGGCAGGUUGCGGGAGGGAGGUGCGUUCCCCACCGCAUCGGUUAUCUCGGUUGCUCCCUUCUCAAACAGAGGACUCAUCUUUACAGCUUCGUCCCCUGAUUCAUUAACUCCUGCCGAUAAUGGACCCAUGGAGGGUUUGGCAAUGCCGUUUCAUCACCAGGGCCCUCCUCCCUCCUGGGUUUUCGGUGCCCUCCCUGCCAUUGACUCCCCGACAAUGCUUGGCCUGCCCUUAUCUCCUGGAGGCUUAUCUCCGGCUUAUCCCUGUCUCGGUGGCACUGGGUCCCCUCCCUCGUGGCGGCGUUGCCAAAGCUGGAGUGUGCCGCUGUGUUACUGGGGGGAUCCUCCUGGGAGCCUGCGUGGCGAGUGUCCCGGGGUCGGCCCCACGACCCCAGCAGGGCUCGGGCUUCGGCGCUUUGCCCCUUGGCAGCAUGCGCUGCUGCCUGCGGCUGUGCCCCCCUCGCUGGCACCCCGGUCCUGGGCGUGCAGGGCAGGACGCGGGGAGGUCCCUGUCCCCGUCCCUGCAGCCACGGGUCCUUGGCAUCGCGUGCCAUUCCCAAAGCCCCUCUGGGGGAGCACGUCGGGUGUUUCUCCCCCAGGUGUUGCAGGGAGACGUCCCGGCUCUGCGAGGCUGUUGGGGUUCCCCAAGGACCCAGCGCACCCUGGGCACGGCCGGACACGGGUCCCAGCUGGGCGAAGGAGCUGGGGUGGGCUGAGCAGGACUGGCCUCGCACCGGCCCCGGGCUACAGGGCUGGGAGCAGCCACUGGUGA